AAAGAGGGGCGGGAGGUGGGAGGUCACAAUGAAUGGAGCAGUUUGAGAGCUGGCACUGAAUGUUCAUGAGGACGCUGUCUGGCUCCGUUUGGGCUCAAAACAAAGCUGGCAUUACGCUAAUGCAUGCAGCUGCUCCCCCUGCGCAGAUUUCAUGAUGAAGUUUGGAGCAUUGUUCGCUUCUCUGUCACGGCUCUCGCAGUAUAUCACGGGUCUGCUUGCGUUGCAGGAGCGAUUAGUCGGUGCGACGAUCGCAGUAAAUCAUUCGAGGAGCAACAUUUCGUCUUGAGGCGAUGCUAAUGUAGGUAAACAGCACCUUGUUUCUGCGGGAAAAAAAUGAAUUAUACAGAGCUGCUGUGGUUGGGGAGGAGGGGGGUAAACAUGUUUAUAAGGCAGUAAUAAAAGAUGUAGAAAAUAUUCACUUUAACCAAAAUAAUGAAACAAAUGAAAAAAAGGCUGCUAUUUGUGAUUUUUAAUUUAGGUUUGUUAGCUAUUACUGUAAUUUAUUGAUAAUAAAUUUAAAAAAAACGCUCCUCCUGUGCUGCUCUGUCCGGAAGGUUCAGGCUCCGACCCUCUUCGUCUUUGCGCUGCGAUAUCAUCAGAUGUUGGUUUUUCACAGCUUCGCAGGGCAUGGCGUGUGGCAUGGAUGAAUAAAAAAACGUGCUAAUUGUGUCCUAAAGCGAGAAAGCUUGCAUCCUUGAUACGUGAUGGUGCGCCGAGACACAUGAAACUAACUCUGCAGACUGCGAGCGUCGAAGGAGUUUUCCUUUUAGCGCAGCGUUCACACAUAAUACAGAGAGCCAGAACCAAACUUGGAGAAGCAGCACUCAGCUUCUAUGCAUCGCAAAUCUGGAACAAACUUUCAGAAAACUCAAAAACAGCUGAAA